rnacentral:rRNA from 1 species
UACAGAGGUCUCAAGCGUUGUUCGGAUUCAUUGGGCGUAAAGGGUGCGUAGGUGGCGCCGUAAGUCAGGUGUGAAAUUUCGGAGCUUAACUCCGAAACUGCAUUGAUACUGCGGUGCUUGAGGACUGGAGAGGAGACUGGAAUUUACGGUGUAGCAGUGAAAUGCGAUAGAGAUCCGGAAGACACCGGUGGCGAAGGCGGCCUGCUGGGCAGUUGCUGGACGACUGAGGCGCGACAGCGUGGGGAGCGAACGA